GAGGAAAAGAAACCAACAGGGAUUGCCUCAGUAACGGCGAGUGAAGCGGCAAAAGCUCAAAUUUGAAAUCCUUCGGGAAUUGUAUUUUGAAGGUGGGUUUGGUUAGGAAAAGAUACUUUAAGUCCAUUGGAAAAUGGCGCCAUGGAGGGUGAUAGCCCCGUAAAAGUCCCCCUUUUCCUUCUAUCCAUUCCCUCCAAAGAGUCGAGUUGUUUGGGAAUGCAGCUCUAAGUGGGUGGUAAAUUCCAUCUAAAGCUAAAUAUUGGCGAGAGACCGAUAGCGAACAAGUACAGUGAUGGAAAGAUGAAAAGCACUUUGAAAAGAGAGUGAAAAAGUACGUGAAAUUGUUGAAAGGGAAGGGCUUGCAAGCAGACACAACCUCGGUUGGGCCAGCAUCGGAGUGGGGGGAGACAAAAAAGAAAAGGAAUGUAACUCUUUCGAGUAUUAUAGCCUUCUCUCAUAUCUCCACCCCCUUCCGAGGCCUGCGAUUCUUCAAGGAUGCUGGCGUAAUGGUUGCAAGUCGCCCGUCU
rnacentral:rRNA from 1 species